CGCGGGAUAGCAUGCGAGUCGUGCGAGAAUCGUAGCAAUACGAGGACAGCGGCGAAAGGGAGAGGAACACGUGGAUACGUACCCUUGGGUUCAGGAUAGCCAUGGGAAACUAUGGGUAAUACUGAAUAAUAUCUCCGGAUCAAAGGUGAGAUUCCGCCCAAGGAGCGGUCCGCGUCCUAUUAGCUAGUUGGUGAGGUAACGGCUCACCAAGGCGAAGAUGGGUACGAGAUGUGAGAGCAUAAUCUCGCUCAUUGGGACUGAGACACUGCCCAGACACCUACGGGUGGCUGCAGUCGAGAAUCUUCGGCAAUGGGGGAAACCCUGACCGAGCGACGCCGCGUGCGAGAUGAAGGCCUUCGGGUUGUAAAUCGCUGUCGUAGGGGAGGAAAUGCUGGUGGGUUCUCCCAUCAGUUUGACCUAUCCUAGGAGGAAGGACGGGCUAAGUUCGUGCCAGCAGCCGCGGUAAGACGGACCGUCCAAACGUUAUUCGGAAUCACUGGGCUUAAAGGGUGCGUAGGCGGUUCGGUAAGUCGGGUGUGAAAUACCUCAGCUCAACUGAGGAACUGCGCCCGAAACUGUCGGACUCGAGGGAGACAUAGGUGAGCGGAACUUAGGGUGGAGCGGUGAAAUGCGUUGAGAUCCUAGGGAACACCAGUAGCGAAAGCGGCUCACUGGGUCUCUUCUGACGCUGAUGCACGAAAGCUAGGGGAGCGAAGAGGAUUAGAUACCCUCGUAGUCCUAGCCGUAAACGAUGAGCACUGGUUUGGAGGCUCCUCCAUAGGCUUCCAGACGUAGCGAAAGUGUUAAGUGCUCCGCCUGG
rnacentral:rRNA from 1 species